UAUAUUAUAUAAUAUGCUAUUAUAUGAAUUAGGCCAGAAUACUAUUAAUAGUAAAACGCUCUUUUUGUUAUCAAGUUUUUAACCCUUGGAUGAAAAAUUGUAGGGUCGGGAUGAUAUUAGUCGGUUAGAGUUGAGUGGUCCCCCUAGGGUUGAGUGGUCCCCACUCGGUUAUAGUAUUUAAUCCAAUGGUUAGAAAUAAUAAAAAGAGCUGAUCCAAAGGCUAAAAAACUGGUAGCAACAAUAGGAUUUUGCUACUAAUAAUAGCCUAGUCCAACUCCUAUUAUAUAAUAUAUAAUGAGUUGAGCUAGAAUACUAUCGGUAGCAAACGGGCUCCGUUGCCACCCAUUUAUUUUCGAUGCUGGAGACUUCAAAUCGAUGAUCGGUAUCGUUAAACAUGAUCUAUGCCACUUGAAGUAUUUAGAAAUCCAAUUUCAUACAUUUUCGAUAUUGUUCUUUUAUUCAUCGAGUGGACACAAAAAUCAACGGCUAAAAAUAAAUAUUCUUUAAAAAAUGAUGAUAGGAAUCUUGUAAUCAAGAUCAAAAGUAUAGAUCUUGUUUUAAAUAGUUUAAAGAAUUUUCUAACAAAAAUUCAAUUGAUUUGGAUAUCUUUACGCCAUUAAAAGAGAAAACGUCUCAUAUCGACCAUUAAAACUACAAAUUUUGAAACCCCUUAAUCAUUAGACAAAUGAUGUCGAAAAGAUUUGAAAUUUGAUUUCUAAAUACUUCAAGUUGUAUAGUUCAUGUUUAACGGUACCGAUUGUCGAUUUGAAGGCUUUAUCAUCGAAAACAAAUGAGUGGCAAUGGAGCCCGUUUGCUAUCGAUAGUAUUCUAGCUCAACUCAAUAUAUAAUAGUAUAGUAUAUUAACGAUAUACUAUUAUAUAUUGUAUAAUAUAAUAGAUGAUGAUGAUGGUAAUGAUAAUAUAUGUAGAUAUAAAUUAUAGUUAUAAUAUAUAUAAUAUAAUAAUUAUUUAUAUAAAUAAUAUAUAAUAUAUUCAAUAGAAGAAAAGUAUAUAAAAUUAUUUUU
rnacentral:lncRNA from 1 species